rnacentral:rRNA from 1 species
GUCCUUUUGUUUAUAGAUAUAAGGUCUAACCUGCCCAAUGAUUUAAAUUUAAUGGCCGCGGUAUAUUAACUGUGCUAAGGUAGCAUAAUCAUUUGUCUUUUAAUUGAAGGCUAGUAUGAACGGUUGGACGAGACAUAAACUUUCUUUAACUUAAUUAAUGAACUUAAUUUUUUAGUUAAAAAGCUAAAAUUUGUUUGAGGGACGAGAAGACCCUAUAGAUCUUUAUAUCUGUAAUUAUCAUAUAAUUUAGUGAAUUAAUUAUUAUUAUAAUUAUUUAUAUUUGGUUGGGGUGAUUAUAAAAUUUAACUAACUUUUAUUUUUAUUUUUCAUGAAUUAGUGUUUUGUUGAUCCAAGAUUAUUGAUUAAAAGAUUAAGUUACCUUAGGGAUAACAGCGUAAUUUCUUUGGAGAGUUCUUAUCGAUAAAGAAGUUUGCGACCUCGAUGUUGGAUUAAAAUUAGUUUUAGGUGUAGAAGCCUAAAAACUAGGUCUGUUCGACCUUUAAUUUUUU